rnacentral:sRNA from 1 species
UUGUGAUGAUGAAGAAAAG